UACGGAGGAUGCAAGCGUUAUCCGGAAUUAUUGGGCGUAAAGCGUCCGUAGGUGGUUUUUCAAGUCAGUUGUUAAAGCGUGGGGCUUAACUCCAUAAAGGCGAUUGAAACUGAGAGACUAGAGUUUGGUAGGGGCAAGGGGAAUUCCCAGUGUAGCGGUGAAAUGCGUAGAUAUUGGGAAGAACACCGGUGGCGAAAGCGCCUUGCUGGGCCUGAACUGACACUGAGGGACGAAAGCUAGGGGAGCGAAAGGG
rnacentral:rRNA from 1 species